GUAGGUGGCAAGCGUUGUCCGGAAUUAUUGGGCGUAAAGCGCGCGCAGGCGGUCCUUUAAGUCUGAUGUGAAAGCCCACGGCUCAACCGUGGAGGGUCAUUGGAAACUGGGGGACGUGAGUACAGAAGAGGAAAGCGGAAUUCCACGUGUAGCGGUGAAAUGCGUAGAGAUGUGGAGGAACACCAGUGGCGAAGGCGGCUUUCUGGUCUGUAACUGACGCUGAGGCGCGAAAGCGUGGGGAGCAAACAGGGAUUAGAUACCCUGGUAGUCCACGCCGUAAACGAUGAGUGCUAAGUGUUAGGGGGUUUCCCGCCCCUUAGUGCUGCAGCUAACGCAUUAAGCACUCCGCCUGGGGAGUACGGCCGCAAGGCUG
rnacentral:rRNA from 1 species